rnacentral:rRNA from 1 species
ACCUGCCUGUAAGAUCGGGAUAACGCCGGGAAACCGGGGCUAAUACCGGAUAGUUUUUUCCUCCGCAUGGAGGAAAAAGGAAAGACGGCUUUUGCUGUCACUUACAGAUGGGCCCGCGGCGCAUUAGCUAGUUGGUGGGGUAACGGCUCACCAAGGCAACGAUGCGUAGCCGACCUGAGAGGGUGAUCGGCCACAUUGGGACUGAGACACGGCCCAAACUCCUACGGGAGGCAGCAGUAGGGAAUCUUCCGCAAUGGACGAAAGUCUGACGGAGCAACGCCGCGUGAGUGAAGAAGGCCUUCGGGUCGUAAAACUCUGUUGCCGGGGAAGAACAAGUGCCGUUCGAACAGGGCGGCGCCUUGACGGUACCCGGCCAGAAAGCCACGGCUAACUACGUGCCAGCAGCCGCGGUAAUACGUAGGUGGCAAGCGUUGUCCGGAAUUAUUGGGCGUAAAGCGCGCGCAGGCGGCUUCUUAAGUCUGAUGUGAAAUCUUGCGGCUCAACCGCAAGCGGUCAUUGGAAACUGGGAGGCUUGAGUGCAGAAGAGGAGAGUGGAAUUCCACGUGUAGCGGUGAAAUGCGUAGAGAUGUGGAGGAACACCAGUGGCGAAGGCGGCUCUCUGGUCUGUAACUGACGCUGAGGCGCGAAAGCGUGGGGAGCAAACAGGAUUAGAUACCCUGGUAGUCCACGCCGUAAACGAUGAGUGCUAAGUGUUAGAGGGUUUCCGCCCUUUAGUGCUGCAGCUAACGCAUUAAGCACUCCGCCUGGGGAGUACGGCCGCAAGGCUGAAACUCAAAGGAAUUGACGGGGGCCCGCACAAGCGGUGGAGCAUGUGGUUUAAUUCGAAGCAACGCGAAGAACCUUACCAGGUCUUGACAUCCUCUGACCUCCCUGGAGACAGGGCCUUCCCCUUCGGGGGACAGAGUGACAGGUGGUGCAUGGUUGUCGUCAGCUCGUGUCGUGAGAUGUUGGGUUAAGUCCCGCAACGAGCGCAACCCUUGACCUUAGUUGCCAGCAUUCAGUUGGGCACUCUAAGGUGACUGCCGGUGACAAACCGGAGGAAGGUGGGGAUGACGUCAAAUCAUCAUGCCCCUUAUGACCUGGGCUACACACGUGCUACAAUGGAUGGUACAAAGGGCUGCGAGACCGCGAGGUUAAGCCAAUCCCAGAAAACCAUUCCCAGUUCGGAUUGCAGGCUGCAACCCGCCUGCAUGAAGCCGGAAUCGCUAGUAAUCG